rnacentral:lncRNA from 1 species
CUGGACCUAUGAAUGGACAAUGACAGCCAGCAUUAAUAUUAAUUACAUCAAAAAGAAAUCAGUUCUUCUGAACUGCAGCUUUAUCUUUUAUGAGGCAAAACAGAUGCUCAGUACCUCAAAGAUCUGGUAAAGAACCAUGAAGUGAUUCUGUUGAGUAAGCAGCAUGAACCACGCUCUGAGUUUAUCUACAGAUCAGAAAUGUGGUCACGUGAGGGAAAAGUUCCCUCCCAAUUGUUUUAUUUUUCCCCUCCAAAAAAAAAUUUUUUUUAAGAGACAGGGUCUUGCCAUGUUGUCCAGGCUAGACUCAAACUCCUAGACUCCUACCUCCUAGUAAUCCUCCUACCUCAGCCUCCAGAGCAGCCAGACUACAGGUGCAUGCCAUCGCAGCCAGCUCUCUCAAAACUGUUAUACCUCUAGUGAUCCUAAUGUGAUUCUCCUGGGUGUAAAGGGGAAGAAAUAUUCCCCAAAAUGUUGUUAUAUUUUAAAUGCUUCAAAAAUAGAAUGCAAAUACUAAAUAUGAAUGUAUACAUACAUACAUGUACAUACAGAAUACAUAUACAGAUAUAUAUUUAUCUAUUCAUCCAUCUGGAGAGAUACAUAGCAACUGACACAGACACUAGUAACUUCCAUGCAAUAAUGCACAGAAAAAAGGAAAAUGAUCAGAUGUAAUCCUCAUUAGUUCUAAGUCAAUUACAGCUUCUAGCAAAGAACUUCACAUUUCAAAUCUCAUUUUUACUAAUAAAGCUACCAAAACUUACAAAUAUAUGUAAGUGAAGACUGUUAUUGUAUCCUAUUUAAAGGUAUAUAAAAAGUGCUUUGAACUCUGAGAAACCUAUAUCUGGAAAGCACAAUAUAGCUGUAUAAUUAUUUUUAAAAAGCACACUUUCCUAGUACUGUCAUCCUGGCCAAAGUCAGAAACUGUUCAAGUCACUGAGAAGUGAGCCAACCACUUUAAGCAAAUCUCUUAACAGUAAUGCCACCCAGGCAACAGAAACUACUGGUCAACUAAAUGUGGCCUAAUUGCCUACCAGCAAGCCCGUAUGUGAUGUGAGGUAGUGGGAAAUGAUGAGUCAGUGUUUCAGAGCCCAUAUGCGGCAGUCAGUCUGAAUUCUCCAGACCUCCAUGGGGGCCUCACCCUCCAAACUCUAUAAGGCAGAAUCAGGGAGGUGGGGAGUCAAACACCAGACUUUAGGAGACCAGACAAGGCUAAAGGGAGAAGCAAAUGGGCAGGGCACAAACGCCUGGAGGCACUCCCCACUGGUGACGUGGCUGGGUUACCUGGUUAAAUUAUCUGCCCUGAGCUCUCUACAUUCGGGGACUUUAUCAACAUGAUGCCCAACCUCAAACGUGAAUGAGAACUUGAAGUUCAAGUCUACAAACUAAUAUUCUGAUCUUAAUGGAGGCUAUGAUGAAACUCUAAUAAAUUAACCAAGACCUUUUUUGCAUUCUCAAAAUUUUAAGAAGUGCUUUGGAGUGUAUUUAUUUUCAAAAUGAUCCAUGAUUGGUUUAAACAUGCAAAGAAAAAUGUACUGGAAGCUUGUCAAUCAGAAAAGAGUAAUUAUUCUUCCACUUUGAAAAGUUCAUAUGAAGUGGGUAAAUUCUGCAAGCUAAGAGCUUGGCAAGGGCUGUUGUAAGUUAGUUUUGUGAAUGAAAUGGCUUCGUACGCACGUGAGCUGUCGGUCAAACAAACAAAAUAAUGUAAGAAAACUCUCCCCAGAACAGGUAUGACCCUGGAACCAGAUAUCAUGAGAAAUAAAGGAAUCCACUUUCCAAAUGCCUAAAUUUAACCAAAUCUAGACUAAAUUGACAGCCGAAGUUCCAAGUUUAUCAUUAUUACUAGUAAGGUGUUCUUUUUCUUAAAGCUGUAUUUCAACAGGUACAAAAUUACCUUGAUAAUUUACAUUUGAUAUCAUCAAGCUUCAUUCUAGGGGUGGACCAAUGUACAGCACUCAGGUUCAUGGCCAACUGGGUGGACUAUUUCAGUACUCUACAGGUGCCUCAGUGGAGGGAGAGCCCAUUGUCCAGGUGCUUCCUGGGACAAUACCAGAGCGCUCUGGGAAAAGGGCUGCUUGCAGGCACGAGGGCUCACAAUGAGCCAUGGUGGGCCACCGCCACGGCCCGUGCAGCCUAAUAGCAAGCCAAGGCAGGAAGCUGUGAGAGCUGCUCAACAGUGCCCCCUAGGGACUGGCUACUUCCUGACCCUAACCUCCGGAAAUCUGCUGUCAAAGGCAGAAGUGUCAAGAAUCAACAGAGAAGUCAGCCAAAUGCUGAAAUGCUACUUCAGACCUAUUUGGGAAAGGUAAACUCUAAACUGUCUGAGUAUUAAAAUCAAACAAUUGCUUAGCUCAACCAAUACUGGAAUAUGACAGGUGUAAGACUUACAAGCCAAAAGACAGGGCCAGCAUAAGCAUGUGAAGCUUCAUCUAAGACGAAGCUUAGAGACUAAAAAAAAGAAGCCAAGCAACAACAUUCUGUGCUGGGUGGGAAGGUGUCCCCGUUAAUUCUAUUGCUGCACCAAAGCAACAUGUAAGCCAAGGCAUUCUGGUCCUGGCUAAGGACAACUUCUCCAUAUGAAAAGCUGAUAGCCUGCAAAAGGGCUUCUGUUUUUCACUCCCAUACCUAGUAGAGAAGUGAAAUCAUUUGUCACUUCUCCAAGAACUAACAAUGGAUGAUAAAUCAGUACAUUUAUUAUUCAUAUCGAGGCUUUCCCCCACAAAGAUUAUAAGCAGGUGGUAAAGGGAGAUGAUAAAUUCAGGGGCAGGCAGAGAGGGGUUGCAAUGAAUUACUUCAACUAAAAAUUUACUUUAGAUGUAACUAUAAUAGAACUUACAUCAGGGGUAUUCGUGAGAGUUUACUUUUACUUACAUUUUAAACGUCUUAUUUCUAUUAUUUUUACCAGCAGAUCUCUACUACACAAAUCUUUAAGCAACAACUCAACUAUUGUAAAGGUCUGUGUAACAAGCAUGUGUGAGAUGCCUUCUUAACUAUUCAGUUCAUUCAAAUCUUCUGAAAAUGUACUUGACUCAUCACUGUUAUCAGGGAUGGAACAAUCCCUUGAAACAUAACCAAUACAAAUCUAUCUUUCAUUUACCCAGCACUUCCUAUUUUAAAUGCUUUGGUCUAACUAAUAAGUAACCCCAAAUCACAUUCUAAUACAUAAUCUGACUCUGAAGCUGAUUCAUAAAAGGCAACUAAACUAAGCAUUUAAAAUAAAAACAAAAAGCAAAGCUUUAGGCGUGACUCACUUGCUGCAAAGAAGAAUCCUGUGAGAAACCCGUUUCUUUAAAGUCAAUUUCAUCAUCACUGGAUGAAUGAAUAUGGCAGGUUGUAACCUAUAUGCAUAAAAAUGUAAAAGACUAUUUAACAUAGAAAAGUUUUGGACAUUUGUAUCAGCAUUUUUAUGGAAAAAUCACAUUUAGUUUUUUUCUCAACGUGUAACAGAAAAAAAUGAAAGUCAGUCACAGUUAAGCUGCCAAACCCGCCCAAUGUGUCAAGGGCACCCUUCCUUCCCUCGGGCCAGGCUGCUGCCCUGCCACUCCCUUCUAGUUAUUCCACUCCUCACUACUGACAUCGCCAGAAAACAGACAAGAAGAAAGGUGAGUUACUCCAUUUAAGUGAUUUUGAUAAUCACCUCCAAUUAAAUGUUUACAAAAAGAAAGACAGAGGUAAUGGCACAGAUGAAACACAGAAACCCUUUCUAUGUACGGGGCCUGCAGGGUCCAACUGCAAUCCCCAGGGAUUACCAGUGCGCCAGUGCGCCACUCAAAAGGUCAGGUUUAAAUAUAACCAUUUCAAAUUCUUGGACUUCCUGCCCACACUAAGAAAACCACUGUCUAGUAGUACUAAAUGUGACUUGAGUCGACAGCUUCCCACUCACAAAAGACCCCAAAUCAUCUACCCUUGAAAAUGUGCACCCUGCCCCCAGAACUUACAACCAACUUUCAGUAAUUAAGCAAAAACACAAACAUGAACUGCUCACCAAUUCAUCGUUAAGUGAUUUUUAUUAAUUACAAAUGUCACACAAUAUUUGGGGGAAGCAUUAACAAUUAGAAAUCAGAUAAACAAAUAAUUAAGUACAGCACUAAUAGUAGUGAUUGCUAUAUGGCAAGGGAUAAACAUGGACAGUUUGUAAACUUCUAGAAAGAAGUACUAUAUUUCUGCGGGUAACUUACACUGUAUUCUCUGAGCUGUUUAUUCUGUACUUUUCACAGAAGUGUUUUGGGCAGGGAAUGUCAUCUUAGGGAAGACACGGGCUGCUGCUACCUGCCAACUCAUGAGGCUGUACCUAACUGGCCUGGUCUGUUUUGCGAAGUUGUUCCAACACUGGUUCAAUAAACCCACAGUAGAAUUCAAAUAGGUCUGUAUAGGGUAUGUCUUGUAAAAUUCUGAGCAAAUCACUGCCUGAACAAGAUGAAUCUCCCUUCCUUUCCCCAACCAUCUUUGGUAAAGACACCAAGCCUGGAUGAAAUUAAGCUGUGAUAACCCAGUGUUUCCAGUUAUUUCACUCUCCAUCCUCUCAAAGGUAUAGAUAAAGCACUCCCAUUCUGUUUGUGAAUCUGGCCUGAUGAAAUCAAAGGUAGAUUCCGUGAUCAAGGAACGGCACCUGCUUGAGUCAAGAGUGGCUUUAGUGAGUUACUGGGUAAAGAUGUGGGCAUGGGGAUGUUCCAGGAAAGCCUUGCCAGAGUGUAGAGGAGGAGUGGGAAUACUGCUUGGUCAUGGCAGCUGGCAUCUCACAGGACUAUGUUAAAGAGCAAGUCAAGUGGUUGUACUGCAGUGCACUCAAGAGGAGCUUCGGGCCACUUGGCUGGCAAGCCAGCACACAUAUCAUGCUGGGCCAGUGUGUUUUAGGGGUGUAACCCCAUGGUGGGGCACAGAAAUAGAAGGCCAUGCAAAGAACUGAGCAAAAUAGGACAAAACAGAGUUGGCGACUCUUAGCCAAGUCUUGCUGUCUAAGUUAAAAUAGGAUUCGAUGUAUCCUCAUUCACACUUUCGCUUUUUCCUACAAAAUAAGAUUUUAACACUCUUUAAUUAAAGAUGAGAAAGAAACUAACUUUUAUUGAACUACUAUGUGCCAGACAUUGUGACCUCCCCUUCGCAUGUUCUACUUAAACUGGAUCCUCAAAGCAAUACUAGAAGAUAUUUAAAAAAGCUUUCUCCAAAAUGAAACUAGUUUUAGCAACUUAUUAGUAACACAAUGCACACACAUCUUCAUAAUUACAUUAAUGGAAGAUGUGAGUCUGAUUCUACCUACACCAUCUGAGUCUGAAAUCAUUAACAAAAUGAGCUAAAAAGAUGAUCUACCUAGGCUGGGCGCAGUGGCUCACGCCUGCAAUCCCAGCACUUUGGGAGGCCGAGGCGGGCGGAUCACGAGGUCAGGAGAUCGAGACCAUCCUGGCUAACAUGGUGAAACCCCGUCUCUACUAAAAAUACAAAAAAUUAGCCGGGCACGGUGGCGGGUGCCUGUAGUCCCAGCUACUCAGGAGGCUGAGGCAGGAGAAUGGUGUGAACCCAGGAGGCGGAGCUUGCAGUGAGCCGAGAUCGUGCCACUGCACUCCAGCCUGGGUGACAGAGCAAGACUCUGUCUCAAAAAAAAAAAAAAAAAAAAAAAAAAAAAAAAAAAAAAAAAAAGAUUAUUUACCCAUGGGGGAAACUUGCUAAUCAGAAUCCCAUUGGUUCAUUAUUCAGAUGUAUACAAAACUGAAUUCCUGAUCUACACUUCCAAACACACUCCUUUUGAGGCAUCUUCAGCUCAGUCACUGCCACCUUCACUCUUCUUCAACUAGAAACCUCGGUCAUCUUGUUUCCUCCAGCCCACCCACCAUGUCCACUCUACCUUCAAAAUGGAGCCAAAAUCCCUCUCCAGACCCAUCGCCCUUCACCAAGUCUGUUAUCAGCUCCCCAGUGCAAGCCAGCACUCCCCUCACCUGGACUAAUGUCACAGCUGGCAGUUCCCCAGUCUCCCUCCUCCUAGCUCUUGCCCCACCUAGCAGUCUGUUCUCAACCCAAUAGCCACAGCCAUCUUUUAAAAAUAUACAUCAAGGUAUGGCACUUUUUAGUUCAAAACCUAACAAAUUCUCAUUAGAUCAAAAUUACCAUAGACUAAAAAGCUGUAGAAAAUCUGGCUGUUUGGCGCCUUUCUGGCCUCAAGUCCUUCUGUUCUCUCCUUUGCUUACUGUUACAUCCACACGGGACAACAUGCAAGUCCCUGCACACACUAGGAACAACCCAAAUUCGAGUCCUCUGCAUUUUGCUCUUCCCUCUCCACUCCACAAAUGCACCUUCCCAGUGAGAUUUUCCUUGACACCAGAUUUUAAACUGUACACCUGCCCCAAAGACUCCCUAACUCCCUCCCAUGCGUUGGCUCCUUAGCACUUACCAUCUGAAACACGCGCAGUCAUGCAUUGUUUCAUGACAAGGAUACAUUGUGACAAAGGCAAUUCUGUCAUCAUGCGAACAUCAUAGAGUUCACAUGGUAGAGCCUACUGCAGACCUGGGCUAUCUGCUACAACCAAUUGCUCCUAGGCUACACACCUGCACAGCACAGUACUGCACUGAAUACUGAGGCAACUGGAGCAUGGUGAUAAGUAUUUGUGUAUCUACAAAUAAAAAACGUGCAGUAAAAUCGAGUAUUCUAAUCUUAUGGGACUACUGUCAUAUAUGCGGUCUAUUGCUGACCGAAACAUUAUGCAGUGCAUGACUGUAUAUUACACAUAUUGUGUGUGCACACGUGUCUCUUACUCAUUUGUUUAUCCAUCUCCACUGAAGCAGAAAUUUUUGCCAAUCUUGUCUAGUACUGUAUCUUCAGUGUCUGGCACAUUGUAGGCACUCAAAUAUUUACUGAAUUAAUGAAUACUAAUAAUCACUGAAUAUAAACAAAUACAGCAAAAAGCAACAAGUAUAUAACACUCUUGCCAAGCUAGAUAUACCGUAAGUAAAGUGCACUCUUGUUGUAGUGCACACAGUUUCGGAGAUAUUAUCUUCUUUCGAAAUAAAAUUUUCGUUUUGUUAACUGUUGUUACAGGAAAAAGCAAAUUGGUGUUUACUUUGGAUGAUUAGGUUCCCAAGGGAAAUCAGAAGUGUGAAAUGACUGUUAAACUCUGAGGCCCGUAUUAGUGACAAGUGAAAGCUAGAGACUUAUUCCUUGAUCCUCAAAGUAUGGUCCCACUGAGGACCCCCAGCAUCAACAUAACCUAGGAUUAGUUAGAAACACCCACUUUCAGGUUUCACCCCAACCUGCGGAAACUCCUGGUGAUUAAUACAGGCACACAUUCAGAUCAUUCUACAUCUCUUCUUCUACACACUGUCUUGUCAAUGAUGGGAAAGAAGCAUCAACAAUUUUAAAUACAUUUUCCCCCUUGGGGAAGAGGGCAAAAAAUGAAACAAACUCAAAUUUUUCAAAGUCAGUACAAAAACAUGUCCUAUGUUCUCUAAAUUCACUCUACCUAAAUCCUUGCCAAUUUUUAGUUUGGGGACUUGGUCAAAACACAGAGGUCUUUGGAUAUAAUUAAAACACCAACUUUUGUUCAUCAUAAACUCCAAACAUAAAAACACAGGGAGUAUAUGAAUCUGCUGUGCACGUAUUUGGGUAUGAUGGAGCCAAAAGAUUAAAGCACUUCGAGUAUCUCAGAGAGAAUUUAACUAAAAUGUUACAGAAGUGAUAGGAGCCUGGGGCUGGGCACAGCUUAUCCAAAAGAAGUGAGCAAGUCCUCAGGUACACAGCCAAUAGGACAGGAAAGUGUUCAGUGUAUAAAUGAAUGUAUCCUUGCUGUAAACAGAAAAAUAACAUGUCAGGUUAACAAUGCACUAACUUAAGCACGUGGUGCUGAACUGGGCUGACUCCACUUCUAUGAAUAUACCUGAAAUGACUUCCAGAGAGGUAGCCAAGCUAUUCUAAAAUCAAGGAAGUCAAGGCAGUGUAUCUAAUCUUAUCUAUUUGGGAAAGGGAACAGGGCAUAAGCAAGCUAUUAUUUAACUACCAAUUCCAGUGACAAGCAUGUUAAGAAGGCAAGUGUAACUACCACAUUUCAAACAUGGGCACUCUUUUUCUAUGUCACUUUUGCAAGGGUAAGGCCCACUGCAUUUACCAAGUUGUGUUUAUAAUAAUAUUUACAAUUGCGUAUUUUCCUGAAACAUGGUACCCAACCCCACUGAGAUACAGCUUGAACACAUUCUGGACAGGAAAAUGAAUGGCCUGGAGGAUACGAUUAAAAUCUCCUUGGUGCCUAGACCUACUAUAUAAGCAUAUUAAACACUUGGAAUAGCUGUAGCCCUCACAAUACUACAAAGCAAAACUCCCUAUCAGAAGGACUUAAGACUAAACGGAAGUGGUAUUUAAGAAAGGGCUCGGGAAUAAAGAAUUGAAGAAGUAUUUAGAUCCACCUGAAAGUCUCAACAGACAGCAAAAUUCUGGAGUGGGGCUAACUCAACAGGGGAUAUAGGUAAUGUUAAAGGGCCCUAUCAAUCUAACCACUUUUGCUUUAUAAGCCAACUUAUGAUUUUGUUUGACUUUAGAUUAUGCAGUCCGAGUAUGAUGGCAGAAAAGCAGAGCAAGCAAAGAAGAACCGAGACGCAAUCUGAGUGACAGAUGGAGCCCAAAAUAAUUUUUUUCUAACACAGUCUACCAGGGGCUGAACGUUUUAUUUUUGCGGGAUGACCACACCCUUCUAUGGGGAUAUAUGUAGUAACAUUUACACACAAUCCCAGAGCAGAUCUGCUGACAGCAUACUAUACAGUAAGUGAGCAUUAUCUGAAUUGUAAUGAAGUCCUUCUUUAUUACAGAACUGCUCACAAAAGAAAUAUGCUUGAGUUACCUAAGAUAAAAACAAUUGUUUAAAAGUCUGGUAACAAGCUUAAUUGGACAUUUUUGACUUCUAACUUUUAAGCCAAUCAAAGGAUAAUUUUAAAAGAAGUUUCCCAAACAAAAUCAGAUUACUAAAUAUUCCUUUAUAAGACAAGACAAUAGUCCCCUUAAAAGAGACUAUAUUGCCUGCAAAGGAAUCAACGUGGGAACCUCCAAAAUUAAGCAGUAUGAUUUAACAGUAUGGGAGAGGACAAUUCCAUUCUACAAAAAAAACCCUGAUUAUCCAGAACACUCAAGUUAAACGAUAGUCCGAGUAUCUAUCUACAAUGGGUAAAAUAUUCAUUAAAAAUGACUUAACCCUUCCUUGAUGACCCAGGGCUGUCAAUACUAAUGUCAUUUUCUCUGCUGGGCUGUGGUACACAGAGACACUCGGGCUAUUAGGCCUUAGGUCUAUUUUAAUUAAAUGGCCCCACAUAGCUUCCUUUUAAUAGUUACCUCAACUUCAUAAUUCUUCCAACUCUUAAUACUUCCUAAUUCUAUCAUUAUUCCCCGCUUAAAAAGUGUGACUCUGUCAGGAGUCUGGAAAAAGAUGACCAUAUUUUUAGGCAAUCUACAAAGUAGGGGGCACAGCCCUCCAGGGAGUGACACAGGAGGACCAAGUGGCUGCUCUCUGGCUUUCAGAGCCUGCUUCCCUGUUGCUUCAGGCUGCCAGAUCAUUGAAUUCCUAACAGUCAAGGUGUUACUGCAUAUUAGAAAUUCAAGACUGCCACUGCCAAAUUUGAAAUAUAGAAUUAAACGCCAAACAUAAACACUUCAAUGUCGAGUCACGUGCUGCUUCUGUCUAAGCAAAGGCCACCCCUCGACUAUCAGCUGGCAUGUACUUGUAAAAGGAAAUGCUUUCCCCAUCUUUAAAAGCAGAAAAAAGCAAUACUUACCUUAAAACUUAAAUGUGUUUAAAAACCAAAAAAUACAUUCCAAAGUCCAAUAUAAUUUUUAAAAAAAUUAUCAAUGCCAUUAUUCCCUGGCUCAAAGUCCCAAUUCUGGUAAAAAAAUUUUAAAGCUGGGGUUUCAAAGUCAUCUACAAAAUAUUCCCCCAUUGGGAAUGAUGUAAAACGAGGGUAUACUCAACUCAAUAAUAUCAGAAAAAUAUCCAACUGAAUCUUUCGCUUUCCUAAGCACCCAGGGUUAUCAGUGGCAUGUGGCCACAAACCCAGCAGAAUGAAAGGAAGGCAAGAGGCUGUUGAGGUGCUCGGCAGCAGGGCAUGGAGGGAAAUGGACACUAAGUAGGAUGUGGAGCAGAAAUCAGUGACUUCUCAAUAUCCUUCUGUCAUCCCAGGCAGGUAAUUAGGAGUGGACUAGACAAAUGGGCAAGAAUAUUGUGAAUACUGACCUCUCUCCCUGGUAAAGAGAUAAGAAUUUAUCUUUGGCUCACAGUUACUGAGGUAAAUGGAAGAUCUUUUACAUCUUUCUGAAUAAAUGGGCAAAGGCUAAGAGCACUGAAAGAAUAAAAAUGUAACCUUGUAAAACCUACUAGAUCUACCGUGUUCCUCUUGUUAGUUUCUCCUAAGGAGCUUGUGCAGAACGUCUCCCAUCGUUCCCUGACUUCGUCGGGAAGAUCUUCAGAGUGAGAAAAGCAAAAAAGCAUUAUCACCACAAUGACCUCCACGGAGACAAAUAAAGUAAGCAGGUAAUAUAAAAGUGGGCCUACUCACCUGGUUCAUCAAUGGUGAGCAGGCCCUAUCAGCUGAGAAACUGGGUGACAGCCAGCCCAGUGCUCUUAGAGAAAUGGAAUUAUUAAACCUUCCAUAGGCCCAAAUCCCAUGGACUUUCAGGAACCAGAAUCCCCCUACCCAAUGGUAUAGGCUUGAUGAGGCCAAGAGCCCUAAGGUAGCUUGUGAACUUAACAAGUUUCUGAAAAUGCUCUGGUAGAAGCUUAACCUGGAAAGUGUGUUUCCAACAAGCUUUUCUGAGAAAGGUGGUAGGUGUUUAACGUGUCGGGGGUAGGGGGAUCUUUUUCCAUGGUCAAGUUAAGUCUAGAAAAUGCUGCAAAUGACAGCUCCUGCACACUUUCUUGAAAUGCUCUCAUUGGCAGCUGGCCAAUGAAUGUUCCACAGAACCUAGUAUGGCUUUUCAAAUUGCUCUAAGAUCAUGUUUCCUAAAUAUUUGUGUCAUGGGCCAACGUGGAUACACAGGUAAUAGUGAAAUUCUACCUUCUAGAGAAAUGUUAAAGAAAAGGAUAAACAACUGCUUUUCUGAGAAAAUCAAACCAUGACGUAAUUUUAGAGGCCUAACUAGUCAUCUGAUAAUUCUGGUUUAAAACAGCCAUGCAUGUGUGCACACUCACAGAAGUGUACACAUGUACCACCUGGCAAGCAGCUUCCAUAAAGGAAAGUCUGAUCUAAAAACUCAGUCAUAUCACAUGGCCAUUUCUUCUUAGUUAGGACAUAAAGAUAAACUGUGUGGUGAAAUGGCCCAAGGAAGAGGCUUAUACCUCUUAUGCCUCUCUCAAGAAGCAAAAUUAGAAGUGGGCACACACCACUUUUUCCAUCCCUGGUGACAACUGUGGUUUUAGUGCACAUUCAACAGGGAAUAGCCUCUUGAACAAACAAACAUUCUUAAGAAAAAAUGGAAGACCCACUGGGAAAUGAUUUUAACUGAACAAAUUCUGUACCAUGGAUGUUAAAGACUGUUCACAUUCAGAAUAGGUCUCAGGAUUGGUAAUCCUGUUGGUACAAAAACCCAGAGUACACAGUUCUCUCAUUUUAGAAGAAGGCUCAUGGCUUGGGGCCAGUGUAAAAAAGCAUCCAUAUAGUUUCUUCCAAAUAAGCUUGGGCUGAUUAAACUGAAAUGCUAUACAGAAAGAGUCCUUUAGAAGCCAAUACCCCUCAUUUUAGUGACAGCGACAUCAAAGAAAUGCUGAUAAAUGCCCUAAUAUUCCAGUUAAAGAAACUUAAUUCAGAGGCUAUAUAGAGGCCUUCAGAAAAUAAAAGGCAAAAUUAUAGCUGAAGUGGCUCAACUGCUAGCAUAUGAGUACUUCACACUCACAAUACUCAAAAGCAUGAUUCACCAAGCAAUGCUCUUUAAGAAUGACAAUAGGUGACUCUUAUAUGCUGAAUCCAGCCAAGCCUGCCAAUGCUUAUGGAAUGGUCUGUAACUACAUGAACAUAAAUACAACCAAAAAACAACACUGUUCAAACACAUUCUCAAGAACCUCAUUCAAAUACAUAAUUUGCCAAAUAUAAAGAAGUCCCACAAAUCACUAUUAAAAAUGCUACAUGCAUUUCUACUUGACCCUUAAAUCCUUCCUGCAACCCAACAAAAAUGUAAUUCAAAUUUCACAAAUAACUUACCUUUGAUAAGCUGCUGCACUAAUGCACUGUUGGGGCCCUUGUCAGUGCUGUGCACGAUACAGUUAGCUAUCCUCGUUAGGUGUCCCAUGUAACCAUGCCGUCUUCCUCCCUCAGCCCUGACAAGAGGUAAAGGACAAAUACUCAGAUUCCUGAUAGGAUGAAGUGAUGAAACACUCGGUAAAUACUGCGGACUUUUAAACAAUCAUUUUAAACCCUGAAGGCACUGAAGAAAAUGACGAUGGACAGAAAAGAAAAGAAAAACAAAGGAAUGGAAGGUGCCAGAAUAUGACCAUGCAGCAUGGUCAGGGAGGGGUGUGAAAUUGUAAAAGAUUAUAUGGCAGCCUCAGUCAACA